rnacentral:misc_RNA from 1 species
GAAAUGCGAUAAGUAAUGUGAAUUGCAGAAUUCAGUGAAUCAUCGAAUCUUUGAACGCACAUUGCGCCCGCCAGUAUUCUGGCGGGCAUGCCUGUUCGAGCGUCAUUUCAACCAUCAAGCCCCCGGCUUGUGUUGGGGACCUGCGGCUGCCCGCAGGCCCUGAAAAACAGUGGCGGGCUCGCUGUCACACCGAGCGUAGUAGCAUACAUUCUCGCUCAGGGCGUGCUGCGGGUUCCGGCCGUUAAACGACCUUCAUAACCCAAGGUUGACCUCGGAUCAGGUAGGAUGACCCGCUGAACUUAAGC